UUAAAUCAGGAUGGAUAUUUUUUGGACUGAUGGGAAGAAAAGGAAAUACACAAACUGGGGCUAUUCUAAACAUACCCGUCGUCAAGGGACCUUUUAUCAAAGAUGGAAUGAGGAACAGUGUGUUGUGAUGUCAGGGAAUCCUUCUCUUGGCAUUGGUAAAUGGUAUAUCAAGUCCUGCAAUGACACCAAUGGAUUUAUGUGUCAUCGCAGUCUUGGUGAGUUCAUUCUUUUUCUCUAAUUUAUUUUUCUCUAUAUGGAUUAAAAAUGUAUCAUGUAAUACCUCCUUUAAGUACCAUUCAUACAUAGCCUAUGUACAAAAACAAAAAAAGGUUUCUGGUCACAAGAUGGGGUCAUUUGUCCAGUUUGAAUGAGGAAGACUAAAUAGAAUGUGAAUGAAUAACUUAGUUUUCCUUUCUUAUAUAAGACUAGAGCUACAGAAAAAUGUAUAUAUUUAGCUAACGUAAGCUAGUAAAUGCUAAUUAAACAAUUUAGUCACUGGGUUGAGAUUAUGAUCUGCAAUACAUUGUUGUCAGUAAUAUUUGAUGUAAUCUUGAUUGUUUGAGAAAAAAUAUUCUCAUUGAGAUAAAAGAUCUCUUCUUCAAGAGAGUCCUGGCCAAGACAGCAGCAUAAAAGUGUCAAUAUAAAGAUAGAACUUGUAAAAAUUAUGCCAAUUUAUACAAAAAGAAUCUGCAAAUCCUGUGACUAUAA